GAAUUGAAAGCUAAAAUAAGCAUUGAUCUUGUAAAUCAAAGAUAGAGAAUCUUUCCUCUCAAUUCU
rnacentral:tRNA from 1 species